AUUUGAUGACGGUGUGGAGGGGAGCAAGAGGUAUCAGUCAGGUUUGUGCAGAAUUUGAGACAUCCAGAAUUACCAUAGGCCCAUUAGAAUCAACAAUCUUUGCCAAACUUGAUUCGGACUGCAAAAUUUACGAAGAUGUUUUCAUACUGAAGAAGAGACCUUGGACAAAUACUGAAACCCUCUUGGUGCCCACUACACAGGCAGGGGUGUCCAGACCUGCUCUAGGAAAGCCAGUGUUCUGUGGGGUUCAGCUCUAACACACCUGCCUGGAACUUCAGACUAAUGAAAUUGAAGUAUCCAAAUGAAGACCCUAGCAGUAUGGAGUAUAUGGUGAGUUCAAGGUUAAUAAAUUAUUUGUUAAAGUUAAUACACAAUAAUUUGAGUUCUCCAUGCUUUUAAAUACUUCUAGGAUACAGACGUUGCCAGCAGUCAGGAGGUGAUCCAGAAGACUCGUGGGAAUCUAUUU